rnacentral:tRNA from 2 species
AUAAAUAAGAAGGAUAAGGGCGGA